AUGAGAGUCAUCUUUUCACAGUAAAGACUAGAAAUGCUAAUAAGAUGCAGUGAAGGCAGGUUUCUGGUCUCCCUUGUACUCAGUGGGAGACACGGCCGAGGGAUCACAAGAAGACCUGUCUCAGUCCCCUUCCACUUCAGCACACAAGGUCAAAGCAUGUCGUGCAUUUCUCUUCUGCUAUUAAUCUUCAUUACCCAAACAGUCAUUAAAUGAAACUCAGCCCACGUUUUUUUUUCCUGUUCAGUUUUUAUUACCACCACCUGACUAAUUAUUAAAAAGCAAGCAAGCAUCAAUUAGAUCCAGACACAUACAUGACAAUUACACUGGGGAGACACGACAGGGUUGAACAACACAUCCCCCUGGAGUGCAUAAUAAUCUGGCAGAGACCAGAGCUCUAUGUAUAAGCAACAAAUGCAUCUAAUUGACUUCCUGGGAAGCGAGGUCCUCAUGUCAAAACAUCUGGGUACAAUUUUCUGGGCAUUUAAACAGCUCUGACUCCAGAGAGACAUGGAGUAUGCCCUGGGCUGCAUCUAGACUGGAUUUACACAACCCCCUAGCACCUUAUCCUUGGUUCUUGCACCACAUAUGCCUUUUUCUUUAGCUCUUGGUCCAGUUCACCUGUUAUAGUUUGAAGUGAUAGACUUUUCUUCCUAUAUUUCAUCAGCCAAUCCUGUACCACACUGAAUUUCUGGCCAUUCCAUGGACAGGAAAGGAGGGUCAGUAGGCACCUUACACAUGUUCUUUCCCCCCUUGCUUUGCUAAAAAUGUGCACUCAUUCUUCAACUCCUGGUCUAAAUGUCACUGAGUUAAUGUAGUUUUUACUGAUUGCCCCCAAGCAUUUAGCUGCCUCCCAUCUUCUUUUUUUUAACUUAUUAGUUUAUUCAUGAGAGACACAGAGAGAGAGAGAGAGAGACAGAGACAGAGACAGAGACACAGGUGGAGGGAGAAGCAGGCCCCAUGCAGGGAGCCCGAUGCAGGACUCGAUCCUGGGACUUCAGGAUCAUGCCCUGGGCCAAAGGCAGGCGCUAAACCCCUGAG
rnacentral:lncRNA from 1 species